rnacentral:sRNA from 1 species
GCUGGGCAUGGUGGCCUAGGCCUGUAGUCCCAGCUACUUGGGAGGCUGAGGCAAGAGAAUUGCUUAAGCCUAAGAAUUUGAGGCCAGGCUGGGCAACACAGAGAGACCCAUCUCAA